AUUGAACGCUGGCGGCAGGCUUAACACAUGCAAGUCGAACGAGUGGCGGACGGGUGAGUAAUGCUUGGGCAUCUAGCUUAUGGAGGGGGAUCACUACGGGAAACUGUAGCUAAUACCGCGUACCAUAGGAUUAGCCCAAUGGGGAUUAGGUAGUUGGUGAGGUAAAGGCUCACCAGGCCGACGAUCUCUAGCUGGUCUGAGAGGAUGACCGGCCACACUGGGACUGAGACACGGCCCAGACUCCGACGGGAGGAAGCAGUGGGGAAUAUUGCGCAAUGGGGGCAACCUGACGCAGCCAUGCCGCGUGAAGGAGGAAGGCCUUCGGGUUGUAAAGUUCUUUCGGUAGCGAGGCGGUAACUACAGAAGAAGCACCGGCUAACUCCGUGCCAGCCGCCGCGGUAAUUC
rnacentral:rRNA from 1 species